rnacentral:tRNA from 1 species
GGCCCCGUAGCUCAACUGGAUAGAGCAAGUGACUUCUAAUCACUAGGUUGGGCGUUCGAGUCGUCCCGGGGUCG